UACGUAGGGUGCGAGCGUUAAUCGGAAUUACUGGGCGUAAAGCGUGCGCAGGCGGUUUUGUAAGCCAGAUGUGAAAUCCCCGGGCUUAACCUGGGAAUGGCAUUUGGGACUGCAAGGCUUGAGUGCGGCAGAGGAGACUGGAAUUCCUGGUGUAGCAGUGAAAUGCGUAGAUAUCAGGAGGGAUACCGAUGGCGAAGGCAGGUCUCUGGGCUGACACUGACGCUCAUGCACGAAAGCGUGGGGAGCAAACAGG
rnacentral:rRNA from 1 species